AACUUGACUCCAGUGCAAAGUCUCAACUUGCUCCGGCUGUCAUUCUGAGCGUUUUCUGUUUUGUUAUUAUUCCUAAUCCUUGUUUUGUUUCUGUAUCUCUACCUACGUUUGUUUGCCUCCUGCCCUGACCUUCUGCCUGUUAUUAUUGACCCCUUUUUUGCCUCACCUACUCUGUUGUGUUUGCCGUCAUUUGACCCUGCCUGUUGUUUAGGAGAGUUCAAUAAAAGCUGCAAAUUGAUCCUCAGCCUUACGACGGUUAGUUAUAGAAGACUUCGCCACCGAGCGAUCCGGCAGCAUCACCCAGCUUGUGAUGGAGCUGUACGCCCAAGCUCAGCAACUCACUGGCCACCACCAGCAGUUGAUGCAUCUCACCUCGCUCACGGGAGAACUCGUCAUGGCACCAUCAAUACGGUCAGUGGGUCUGGCUCUCCACCCGAGACAUCCAUCUCUGCCCACUCUGCAAAAAUCUCAGUCCUAGGUCUCGCUGCUAAAACCCCCUGGUGGUCCAAGAGGGGAACGAGAGGAGGCUGCUGAUCCAUCGGGUCCACCGACCCUGCUGGUCGGCGGCAAGGAGGCUUACCAGGUCCAUAUUGUCCCGGAAUUACUAGACAUAGUUUUCCUAGAUUAGCAGAUCUUCCUGAAGACAACAUAACAUUGUGAAUACAACAUAACAUAGUAGGUCUUGAGACCCAAACCAAUAGUAGUUUCUUGGUGACUCUGUAUCACUGGAACAGUGGAGCACAAUCUGAAUACAAAAUAAAAACUCUGUGCUGAUACAGUAUAAAUAACAACUCAUUUAAUAUCAUGUGACUCUUUGUACAAAGUUCUUACACUUUUAUUCUUCACUUUUCUCUUUUACUACUAAAGGUAUUUCCUGUCAGUGACUGUUUAUUACUAUAACCGUCAAAAUGGGGCUUCAAAACAGCGCACAUUUUCUCUCAAAGAAGUAUUUACAUCAUGUUAUGAGUCAUAAGUCUUAUCCUGUGAUAAGAUUAAAUUACUCCAAAAGGAUUGUCACAUCACGACACGAUCUCAAAUUCUGAGAUAAUUUUAUAGUGCACCUCCCACGCCCACCGAUCACCAACACAGAGAAGCGUCUCCUGAAUACUAGCUCUCCCAGACUGCAAGGCCCAGAAUCCACCUCUGACUCUGAUUGCUCCACCACCUGUUCCUCAUCAGCUGCUUCCUAUAAAUACUGAACUUGAACUUGACACCAGUGCGAAGUCUUGAUCUGUUCCGACAAUCAUUGAGUUAUUUCUGGUUUUGUCUGUUCUGGUUUCGGUUUCUGCUUCUGUGUUUUCGUUUGUGAUUGUUUGCUGCCUGCACUGACCAUCUGCCUGUUUUACCGAUUCCGAUUUCUGCCUGCGCUCUGAUAUUGUGUUUACUUGCCCUGACCCUGCCUGUACGACUCUUUGCUACAGUUACUGACUGCUGCAUGGCAAAAUGUUCCAGCAAAUAUCAGCUUCUUUCAGCUCAACUGCAUCUUCUUCAGAGCAGAACGGCAGGACAGAUGGCGUCACAGAUGGCAGCCUCGGCACAACUCUCUCUAGCGCGGAAUCUACAGUACUGUUGUUCUGUCCUGUUGUCCUGUCUUUAUGUUUCGUGUUCUUUUGUUAUUAAACCCUGUUUAUUUUGCUA